CUUCCCUCACUCUUCCUGCCACCUUGUGGUGGAGGAGUGCAGACCUGAGCAUGAUGGAAACAUCUAAAUUCUAACCAUGGCCAAUUUAGGGGAUCACCGACUUGAGAGAUUUGAACCAUCUACCUAGAAAUCAUGGGCAUUCAGUUUUGUAAGGAUGGCAACCUUUGUGAAAUCAUAAUUGAAGAUGUUGAAGAAACCACCGAGUGGAAGGAGAAGAAAAAGCGAAAA